UGGGGAAUAUUGCACAAUGGGGGAAACCCUGAUGCAGCGACGCCGCGUGAACGAAGAAGGUAUUCGUAUCGUAAAGUUCUGUCCUAUGGGAAGAUAAUGACAGUACCAUAGAAGAAAGCUCCGGCUAAAUACGUGCCAGCAGCCGCGGUAAUACGUAUGGAGCGAGCGUUGUCCGGAAUUAUUGGGCGUAAAGGGUACGCAGGCGGUUUAAUAAGUCGAAUGUUAAAGAUCGGGGCUCAACCCCGCAAAGCAUUGGAAACUGAUAAACUUGAGUAGUGGAGAGGAAAGUGGAAUUCCUAGUGUAGUGGUGAAAUGCGUAGAUAGUAGGAGGAAUACCAGUAGCGAAGGCGACUUUCUGGACACAAACUGACGCUGAGGUACGAAAGCGUGGGGAGCAAACAGG
rnacentral:rRNA from 1 species